rnacentral:rRNA from 1 species
AACGAACGCUGGCGGCAUGCCUAACACAUGCAAGUCGAACGAGACCUUCGGGUCUAGUGGCGCACGGGUGCGUAACGCGUGGGAACCUGCCCUUAGGUUCGGAAUAACUCCCCGAAAGGGGUGCUAAUACCGGAUAAUGUCUUCGGACCAAAGAUUUAUCGCCUUUGGAUGGGCCCGCGUUGGAUUAGCUAGUUGGUAGGGUAAAAGCCUACCAAGGCGACGAUCCAUAGCUGGUCUGAGAGGAUGAUCAGCCACACUGGGACUGAGACACGGCCCAGACUCCUACGGAAGGCAGCAGUAGAGAAUAUUGGACAAUGGGCGAAAGCCUGAUCCAGCAAUGCCGCGUGAGUGAUGAAGGCCUUAGGGUUGUAAAGCUCUUUUACCCGGGAUGAUAAUGACAGUACCGGGAGAAUAAGCUCCGGCUAACUCCGUG